rnacentral:rRNA from 1 species
CCUACGGGAGGCAGCAGUGAGGAAUAUUGGUCAAUGGUCGGGAGACUGAACCAGCCAAGCCGCGUGAGGGAUGAAGGUACAGAGUAUCGUAAACCUCUUUUGUCAGGGAACAAAGGCGGGGACGUGUCCCCGGAUGAGUGUACCUGAAGAAAAAGCAUCGGCUAACUCCGUGCCAGCAGCCGCGGUAAUACGGAGGAUGCUAGGGUUAUCCGGAUUUAUUGGGUUUAAAGGGGGCGCAGGCGGUCUGUUAAGUCAGCGGUAAAAGCCCGGGGCUCAACCCCGUCCCGCCGUUGAAACUGGCAGUCUCGAGUUGGAGAGAAGUAUGCGGAAUGCGCGGUGUAGCGGUGAAAUGCAUAGAUAUCGCGCAGAACUCCGAUUGCGAAGGCAGCAUGCCGGCUCCACACUGACGCUGAGGCACGAAAGCGUGGGUAUCGAACAGGAUUAGAUACCCGAGUAGUC